CGGGCUUAUUUCUAGAGAGGGUGCUACCAUGCAGUCGAACGGCAGCACAGGAGAGCUUGCUCUCUGGGUGGCGAGUGGCGGACGGGUGAGGAAUACAUCGGAAUCUACUCUGUCGUGGGGGAUAACGUAGGGAAACUUACGCUAAUACCGCAUACGACCUACGGGUGAAAGCAGGGGACCUUCGGGCCUUGCGCGAUUGAAUGAGCCGAUGUCGGAUUAGCUAGUUGGCGGGGUAAAGGCCCACCAAGGCGACGAUCCGUAGCUGGUCUGAGAGGAUGAUCAGCCACACUGGAACUGAGACACGGUCCAGACUCCUACGGGAGGCAGCAGUGGGGAAUAUUGGACAAUGGGCGCAAGCCUGAUCCAGCCAUACCGCGUGGGUGAAGAAGGCCUUCGGGUUGUAAAGCCCUUUUGUUGGGAAAGAAAUCCAGCUGGCUAAUACCCGGUUGGGAUGACGGUACCCAAAGAAUAAGACCGGCUAACUUCGUGCCAGCAGCCGCGGUAAUACGAAGGGUGCAAGCGUUACUCGGAAUUACUGGGCGUAAAGCGUGCGUAGGUGGUCGUUUAAGUCCGUUGUGAAAGCCCUGGGCUCAACCUGGGAACUGCAGUGGAUACUGGGCGACUAGAGUGUGGUAGAGGGUAGCGGAAUUCCUGGUGUAGCAGUGAAAUGCGUAGAGAUCAGGAGGAACAUCCAUGGCGAAGGCAGCUACCUGGACCAACACUGACACUGAGGCACGAAAGCGUGGGGAGCAACAGGAUUAGAUACCCUGGUAGUCCACGCCCUAAACGAUGCGAACUGGAUGUUGGGUGCAAUUUGGCACGCAGUAUCGAAGCUAACGCGUUAAGUUCGCCCGCCUGGGGAGUACGGUCGCAAGACUGAAACUCAAAGGAAUUGACGGGGGCCCGCACAGCGGUGGAGUAUGUGGUUUAAUUCGAUGCAACGCGAAGAACCUUACCUGGCCUUGACAUGUCGAGAACUUUCCAGAGAUGGAUUGGUGCCUUCGGGAACUCGAACACAGGUGCUGCAUGGCUGUCGUCAGCUCGUGUCGGGAGAUGUUGGCUAAGUCCCGCAACGAGCGCAAUCCUUGUCCUUAGUUGCCAACACGUAAUGGUGGUAACUCAACGAGAC
rnacentral:rRNA from 1 species